GUGAGAUUGUCAGCAAAAAAGGGAAUGUACAAGUGAUUAAUUUCACAAUUAAAGUGAGUUAAACAACAUGUUUUCUAUCGAGUUGAUUUCAAUUUUUACACUUGGUUUGGAGUAUUUCCAAUUAGUCAGAGAGUUAAUAACUCUACGGAGGAACAAAUUGAACUGAUGGGUUCCUUGCAAAAUUUUAGGAUUCUUUGAUGCAUCUUUCAAAAACAGG